CCUUCCAGGUUUGCUGCUUGGUCCUACCCAGGUGGCUGGGGCCGUGUCUACGCUGCAUGGCCUUGCUGCUGCUCACCCCAGGACACUGCAAGGGGUGCCCUUGCCCUUUGCCGUGCUGGGUGUUUGGAUGAAGCCUUGGUGCUACACAGCGGUGGUGCAGGAACUUCUCCAGAAGGCCCAGUAGUUCCACCCAUGGCAAACCUGAGUUAAUGCUCCAUGCUGGUCCCUCAUGGUCCCCAGCACGAGGUGUUUGCUGGAUUCCAGCAGGUACAUCUCAGACACAGACCCCAGGGCUGAGACAGCAUCAGUGGGAAGGAAGCAUCAGUGUCACUGCCAGGACCAGUGUCCUCUGACUGCCACUGUGGACUGAAGGGAUGUUGACCUCCCUGGACAAGCAAUGUGGAGGCAGGGGCAGCGCUCCCCCUUGGGCUGACCCAUGUAGAAACCCAGCCUCAGCCCUGUGCUGUGAGCACCCAGUGAAAUCCAGUGAACAAGAGAAAGCUCCUGCCUGCUGAGCCCAAAAGCCAAGUCAGCCUGCUGCACAGAACGAAGAGAACUCAGGACAAGCUUCUGUCUCUGGACACCUUUUAACCUGUCAGUAGCUGAUGGCCUCAAGAUCUGCACACACUCAAAAAGUCCUCAGUGCUUGACACCAGGAUCCAGGGCUCCAGGAGGUUUCAGUGGGCAGCAGCAGGGCCGGAUGCUGACCUCCUCACCUGCUGCCGCAGGACCUGCUUCCCUCCCUCCUCCACUUGCACUGCGUGUGCUUGGCGCUGCCAUGGCCACAUCCUCAGCUCAACCCUCCCCAGGCUGCGUGCAGCCAGGGAGCGAUGCCGGCAGCUGCUGGAGCUCUUCACCAUGGGGCCUCAUCCCCUCGCCACAGCUGGGACACGGGCAUGUUCUCCAGGGAAGGUGUUUUCUCCAGCACGAUACGUAACAGUCGGCCUAAGGCAUGCUCCCUCCAAGGACUGUUCCAGCUCCUUCCAGUGUGGUUGUAUUUUAUCUGUGGAGCUCUGAAAGGCCAGUAACUGAUUUCAGGUGGAUCCUGAGCCCAACAAGUGAAGUGAGACUAAACAGGCAGCUGAAAGCAGUCAGUCUCGGUGAGCAUGCCAAUGAGGCAGACAAGAUGCGUGUCGGCAUGGCGUUCCUCCCCACUGGGAAGAGGACUCAAUACAUGCACCCUGCGCCCACCCUACCUGCCCCUGGGAGCACUCGUGGUACUGGGCAGCACGAGAUGCUGGGUAUCCCUCAUCCCAAGCCCAUGGUAAUGCUCUGCUGGAAUUUCCAGCUGGGCUGGGUGAUUAUCUUGGGGAUCAUAGGGUGGUGACAGUCAGAAGGGACACCUGGGGGUGUCUGAGCAAAGGGUGACAUUUAGCUUGGCUGUAAUCUGUCCCCCAAAGCAAGCAGGUCUGUCUCCCUUGGCCUUGUGGCUGCCAAGUUACCAUCCCACAUGCAAGUUAAUUAGCUCUGCUCUUUGUUUUCUUCCCAGUGCUUUUCCACAAAUAUCUGUAUAAACAGAAUUUAUCUUUCUCACUUUUGAAAAU